UACGAAGGGGGCUAGCGUUGUUCGGAUUUACUGGGCGUAAAGCGCGCGUAGGCGGAUCGCUAAGUCAGGGGUGAAAUCCCAAGGCUCAACCUUGGAAUUGCCUUUGAUACUGGCAAUCUGGAGUUCGGGAGAGGUGAGUGGAAUUCCGAGUGUAGAGGUGAAAUUCGUAGAUAUUCGGAGGAACACCAGAAGCGAAGGCGGCUCACUGGCCCGAUACUGACGCUGAGGCGCGAAAGCGUGGGGAGCAAACAGGG
rnacentral:rRNA from 1 species